AAACUCUCUUUCUAUCUAUAUUUCUCACUAAACCAAACUACUGCACCUUAGCCGUCUUUCGUCCCUCUCUGGUUUUGAAUCUCUAAAUUCCAUUUCUUUCGUUCAUUUUGAUUUUCUGCUCAAAUGGAUUACUGGGAACACCCUUCUCACAUAUACUCAAUAAGCGAUCUGCACUAUGAUUUUUCUUCUCAAGAGCAAGUCGGAUACGGUGAAGACUAAAUGCAGGGGAAUUACGGGCUAGGGAAAAUGGGAACUACAAUCUACUCUAUCUCAUUUCAAUUGAACCAAACUACAACAACUUCGCCGUUUUUUGGUUUCGUGUGAUUUCGAAAUGGAUAAUUGGGAACAUCCUCCUCACAUCUACCUACAUUAAUCUGAUCUGUCUGUUAAUGUUCUCAUGCUGUCUGAUCCACCUUUAUCCAUCGAUCUUUUUUCCCGGUAGAAAUAACUAGUCGUCUUCAUAUCUCGACUACACAAGCAAAGAUUCUGACUUACUGUGGAAUUCUCUAUCAAUGUAAAAUUUUUUUUUUUCUAAUUUCUAAAUAAUUUCCGAGUGUAACCAAACAGUUGGUAGCCGGCUAACAGAUUCUGAGUUUCCAGAUUCAAUUCUGUUGUCUUAAUAUUAUUAAUUUCUUUCGAUUGGAUAUGUAAUACUCAUGUUUCUAAAUAGUUACUGUUAGAUUUGUCUUUUAAUGUUGGUAGUAGUCGUUCGAUUUUGGAAAUGUUCUUUAAUGUAGUAAUUUUAGAAGAUUAGCUGGUGAAAAUGGAAAUACCGGUGAUCAGUUGAUGUUUGAA